GAUGAACGCUGGCGGCGUGCCUAAUACAUGCAAGUCGAGCGAACAGAUGAGGAGUUUGCUCCUCUGACGUUACCGGCGGAGGGGUGAGUAACACGGGGAUAACCUACCUAUAAGACUGGGAUAACUUCGGGAAACCGGAGCUAAAACCGGAUAAUAUUUUGAACCGCAUGGUUCAUUGGUGAAAGACGGUUUUGCUGUCACUUAUAGAGGGACCCGCGCCGCAUUAGCUAGUUGGUAAGGUAACGGCUUACCAAGGCAACGAUGCGUAGCCGACCUGAGAGGGUGAUCGGCCACACUGGAACUGAGACACGGUCCAGACUCCUACGGGAGGCAGCAGUAGGGAAUCUUCCGCAAUGGGCGAAAGCCUGACGGAGCAACGCCGCGUGAGUGAUGAAGGUCUUCGGAUCGUAAAACUCUGUUAUUAGGGAAGAACAAAUGUGUAAGUAACUAUGCACGUCUUGACGGUACCUAAUCAGAAAGCCACGGCUAACUACGUG
rnacentral:rRNA from 1 species